rnacentral:rRNA from 1 species
CCUACGGGUGGCAGCAGUGAGGAAUAUUGGUCAAUGGGCGGAAGCCUGAACCAGCCAAGUCGCGUGAGGGAUUAAGGCCCUGCGGGUCGUAAACCUCUUUUGCCGGGGAGAAGAGGUCCGGACGUGUCCGGGCCGGGAGAGUACCCGGAGAAAAAGCAUCGGCUAACUCCGUGCCAGCAGCCGCGGUAAUACGGAGGAGGCGAGUGUUAUCCCGUUUUAUGGGGUUUAAAGGGUGCGUAGGCGGGCAUUUAAGCCGGCGGUCAAAUGUCGGGGCUCAACCCCGGCCGGCCGUCGGAACUGGGGGCCUUGAGUGUGCUAGAAGUAUGCGGAAUGCGGGGUGUAGCGGUGAAAUGCAUAGAUAUCACGCAGAACCCCGAUGGCGAAGGCAGCAUACCGGCGCCCUACUGACGCUGAGGCACGAAAGUGCGGGUAUCGAACAGGAUUAGAUACCCUAGUAGUC